CCUCUGUGAAGUGAAGAGAAGAAUAAAGCCUACUUCACAAGGAGUAAAUGAGACGCACCAAGUUCUCAGCGCGGCGCUGGGCACGUAGCAAACCCUGGUGACGGUGGUAGGUGGUAACCGUGGGGAUAAGGAUAAAGGUAGUGAACGGUAACCAUGGUGAUGGCUGAAUGUGGUGAUGAUGGUGAUGAUGAUUUAAUGCUUGCUGACCGAGUGAACAAUGCAGGAGGAAAAGGGGGCUAUUAUCAGUUUCUAGAAGACUCCAGACAUGAUAAACUGGGUGUUGGAGGAAGAGGAAAUGGCAGCCGCAGGAAGCUUUUGUUUGGCAGGAGGAGGAAGAGCCGGGCCGCACCGAGAGGAGCCCCCAGUGCCACAUGUUCUGAGUUCCUCCUACCACGCCUGCCAGAGCCCAGGUGGGCGUGGGGCCCGAGGAAGCCCUUGCCACCCAGCGAGUGGGGCUCCAGAGGCCGGGCACUACCACCGGGAGAGGUGACAGCUGUCAGCACCGAGGAGAAGAACAUUCUGAGGCCCAAGAAUAGCCCGACCGCAAGACAGGGAGGUGCUGUCUCUGAAGCAUCGCCCUCCUCCCUGGAGCAGAAAAGACUGCAUAUUUGGAGACCCCGAGGUUUCCUGGAACCUCCAGGAGAAGAGGCUGUACCCCAGCUAUUUUGGAGAUAAACAUGAUCUUCAGUGAUUCAGGGGAGAAAAAAGCGACCGUUCAGCCUGAUGGUCGAGACGAUCGCUGUUGACACUGUGUUCAUACCCACUUUAUUCCCAGCGGCCGAAAGGUGGAAACAACCCAAGUGCCCGUCAACAGAGGAAUGGUAAAACAGAAUGUGGUGUGUUCGUACAGCAAAAUACUAUUCGGCCACCCGAAGAAAUGAAAUCUUGAUAUAGAUGCUACAAAGUGGGUGGGCCUGAGAAAUGUCACACUAGGUGAAAUAAACCAGACGCAGAAGGACA
rnacentral:lncRNA from 1 species